rnacentral:rRNA from 1 species
GAUGAACGCUAGCGGCAGGCUUAAUACAUGCAAGUCGAGGGGCAGCAUGAUUGUAGCAGUACAAUUGAUGGCGACCGGCAAACGGGUGCGGAACACGUACACAACCUUCCAACAGGUGGGGGAUAGCCCAGAGAAAUUUGGAUUAAUACCCCGUAACAUAGCGAUGUGGCAUCACAUUGCUAUUAUAGAUUUUUCGCUUGUUGAUGGGUGUGCGGCUGAUUAGAUAGUUGGCGGGGUAACGGCCCACCAAGUCUACGAUCAGUAGCUGAUGUGAGAGCAUGAUCAGCCACACGGGCACUGAGACACGGGCCCGACUCCUACGGGAGGCAGCGGUAGGGAAUAUUGGACAAUGGACGCAAGUCUGAUCCAGCCAUGCCGCGUGAAGGAUUAAGGUCCUCUGGAUUGUAAACUUCUUUUAUAAGGGACGAAAAAAGGCUUUUCUAAGUCGUCUGACGGUACCUUAUGAAUAAGCACCGGCUAACUCCGUGCCAGCCGCCGCGGUAAGAC